GAUGAAGAACGUAGCGAAAUGUGAUAAUUAAUGUGAAUUGCAGAAUUCCGUGAAUCAUCGAGUCUUUGAACGCACAUUGCGCCUCAUGGCAUUCCGUGAGGCAUGCCCAUCUCAGCGUUAGAAAAUAUUCUCAAAUUUUAGUUUUGUGCUAAAAUUUGGAUCAUGUCAAGGAAGCUAUUACUAUUAUUGUGAUCGCUCUUUGGAAAUUGAUAGGUCUUUGAGUUGCUACUCAUAGAACGUGAUGAAUCUUUCUUCGUUCUAUUGUAAUUCACUCUGGUAGUCCUAAAACUUGUAUGCCUGUGGCAUAUCUUGUAAUUUGACCUGAGAUUGGGCAGGGAUACCCGCUGAACUUAAGCAUAUCAAUAAGCGGAGGA
rnacentral:misc_RNA from 1 species